rnacentral:rRNA from 1 species
UACAGAGGUCCCAAGCGUUGUUCGGAUUCACUGGGCGUAAAGGGUGCGUAGGUGGUGAGGUAAGUCGGAUGUGAAAUCUCCGAGCUCAACUCGGAAACUGCAUUGGAAACUGCCUUGCUCGAGGGUUGGAGGGGGGACUGGAAUGCUUGGUGUAGCAGUGAAAUGCGUAGAUAUCAAGCGGAACACCAGUGGCGAAGGCGGCAUCCUGGACCGACACUGACGCUGAGGCGCGAAAGCUAGGGUAGCAAACGGG